UAAUAUAUAUUAUUAUUAUUAUUUUAUUUAUUUUAAAGAUCCAAAUUCGGAUCCGGAUAUCCGCCGGAUAUUACAAUUUUUAGAAGGAUAUCCGACACCCGGAUAUCCGAGAACUCCGGAUCCGGAUAAGGAUAAUAAAAUUAUGGAUCCGUCAGAUAAGAAUCCGGAUCUUGAUACAUUAAAAUUGUCCGGAUAUCCGAUCCGUCCCAGGCCUACCUCUAUUGGUGUUAUUUGGAGAAACUUUAAUUAAAAACCAUUACAGAAAAAGAAUUUCAGAGAUGAUCACUGAAGCCCGAGAGACCACUCCGGCGAGAGGACCGCCGCCGUCAAUCAGACGCCUAGGAGAAAACGCAGUAGAUAAAAGCUAUGGCAAUAGAACAACCCAGAUUUUGUUCGAUAACUUUCAUUCUGCACAAAAAUUUUCACUUCUUCUUAUGAUAAAAUUUCAAUCUAAUUCUUCUUCUUCUUCUCAAUUGUUUUCAUUCUGAAAAGUGUUUUAGCUCCCAGUGGUGUCACCCCUUCAAAUUGGAGGUGAUCUCACUGAUUUUCUUGAGUGAAACUUGUGUAACCAGUAUUGUUGUUUGGAAACCCUUCAUGUUCAUGUGACAGACCAGCCCAUUCUUCUUAAUGCUACAGUGGGAGGUGUCACCAAGCUUGCAACCGAUGAGCUAUUGUCUCAGACAAAUCAACAGAGACAUGCAGCGUAAGGAUGAUAUAUGGGAUGGACCAAGACCACUUUACUUUAUCAGCCUUCUGAAUCUUUGAUAGAUGAGUUGUUUUCUCUAUAUAAACAUGUCUCUAGACUAUUGAUUGAUUUGGUCUUCUUCCUUUGUUAUUUCAGAACCUAAAUGUUCUUGUUUAAGAUUUUAGCAAAAAAAAAAUUUCUUGUUUGAUCAUUAA